CACAAGGGCUGUAGAGCCAUAGGUAGACCGUGACAACAGAGAUAUCUCAGUCAUAGCCACUAGCUAUGGGCUGGAUGACUGAGGAAUCUGAGUUCAAUUCCUGACAAGCACAAGAGGUCUCUUCUCUACCACAUCCACACCAGCUCUGGGGGCCACCCAGCCUACUAUCCACUGAGUACCAGAGAUGCUUUCCCAGGGGUGAAGUGGCUAUUAUAUGCAGUGACCACUCACCUCCAUCUAGUGCUAAGAAGGCUUACAAAGAGUGAAGUACGUGUGGAACUGACGUUCUUACAGCAGUAACUAUGAAGAUUGCCAAAUUCUGGGUUGUAACUAAAUGAAAAAAAAAAACAGUGGAAUGGAAGUAAACAGUAUCAGCCAACAUCUUGCAAUUGCUGGAAAACCAAAGUUA